GAGGGUAUAGCUCAAGUGGCAGAGUGCAUGCUUAGCAUGCAUGAGGGCCAUGGGUUCAAUCCCCAGUACCUCCU
rnacentral:tRNA from 1 species